GGACGGAACUUAAGGAUCGCCAUGAGGGCUGCCAGACACUCCUUCUCUGUCACCGAGUAGUUUUUUUGGUGGCAAUUCAGUUUGGCAGAGAAAAACGCUAUGGGCCUCUCGUUCUGCUCGUCAUCCCUUUGGAAGAGUACGGCUCCUACUCCAUAAUGUGAGGCGUCGCACUGUUUGUAGAAGUGCCGCUUGAAAUCCGCGUGUACCAGGACUGGUGCCGAGGGCGUCUGUGAGCGGACCGGCCAUCUCAGCAUAGUUUUUCAUAAAGCGCCGGUACAAGCCCGCAGUUCCCAGGAAACUACGCAAUUCUCGAACAGAUCGCGGCUCGGGAAUGCGCAAAAUGGCCGACACACGAUCCGGAUCCAUCCUCAGCGCUCCUCCUCCCACUAUAAAUCCCAGACGCUCGGCAAACUGUCGCAGAAUCUUCACGUGCGUUUGGAAGUCCUCAGCUAUAAUCAGCAAGUCGUCGAGAUACGCAUAGACGUUUGAACGCAUCUUAACCGGAAUCACCUUAUCGACCAGUCUACAGAGGCGUUGUGCGGCGUUGCAGAGGCCAAAGGGCAUCAUACGUAACUGGUACAGAGGCCGUCCCGGCACCGUGAACGCCGUAUAUGGUCGACUCUGCUCGUCCAGCUCGAUUUGCCAAAAAGCGAAUUUUAAGUCGACG